GACAGAGGGUGCAAACGUUGUUCGGAAUUACUGGGCGUAAAGCGCGCGUAGGCGGUUUGCUAAGUCGGGUGUGAAAUCCCGGGGCUCAACCCCGGAAGUGCAUUCGAAACUAACAGACUUGAGUCUCGGAGAGGAUGGCGGAAUUCCUGGUGUAGAGGUGAAAUUCGUAGAUAUCAGGAGGAACAUCCGUGGCGAAGGCGGCCAUCUGGACGAUGACUGACGCUGAGGUGCGAAAGCGUGGGGAGCAAACAGG
rnacentral:rRNA from 1 species